rnacentral:rRNA from 1 species
GAUGAACGCUGGCGGCGUGCCUAAUACAUGCAAGUCGAGCGAACAGAUAAGGAGCUUGCUCCUUUGACGUUAGCGGCGGACGGGUGAGUAACACGUGGGUAACCUACCUAUAAGACUGGGAUAACUUCGGGAAACCGGAGCUAAUACCGGAUAACAUUUGGAACCGCAUGGUUCUAAAGUGAAAGAUGGUUUUGCUAUCACUUAUAGAUGGACCCGCGCCGUAUUAGCUAGUUGGUAAGGUAACGGCUUACCAAGGCGACGAUACGUAGCCGACCUGAGAGGGUGAUCGGCCACAAUGGAACUGAGACACGGUCCAGACUCCUACGGGAGGCAGCAGUAGGGAAUCUUCCGCAAUAGGCGAAAGCCUGACGGAGCAACGCCGCGUGAGUGAUGAAGGGGUUCGGCUCGUAAAACUCUGUUAUUAGGGAAGAACAAAUGUGUAAGUAACUGUGCACGUCUUGACGGUACCUAAUCAGAAAGCCACGGCUAACUACGUG